AUGCACGCUGGCGGCGUGCCUAACACAUGCAAGUCGAGCGGCAGCGAGGGGUGCUUGCACCCUGCCGGCGAGCGGCGGACGGCUGAGUAACGCGUGGGAACGUGCCCCAAAGUGAGGAAUAACUGCCCGAAAGGGUAGCUAAUACCGCAUAUUAUCUUCGGAUCAAAGGAUUUAUCCGCUUUGGGAGCGGCUCGCGUCGGAUUAGGUAGUUGGUGAGGUAAUGGCUCACCAAGCCGACGAUCAGUAGCUGGUCUGAGAGGAUGACCAGCCAGACUGGAACUGAGACACGGUCCAGACUCCUACGGGAGGCAGCAGUGAGGAAUCUUCCACAAUGGGCGAAAGCCUGAUGGAGCAACGCCGCGUGCAGGACGAAGGCCUUCGGGUUGUAAACUGCUUUUAUAAGUGAGGAAUAUGACGGUAACUUAUGAAUAAGGAUCGGCUAACUACGUG
rnacentral:rRNA from 1 species